AAAUGAAUUGACGGGGGCCCGCACAAGCAGUGGAGUAUGUGGUUUAAUUCGAAGCAACGCGAAGAACCUUACCAGGAAUUGACAUCCCUCGCAAUCUGUUGAAAGACAGAGUUCCCUCGGGACGGGGAGACAGGUGGUGCAUGGUUGUCGUCAGCUCGUGUCGUGAGAUGUUGGGUUAAGUCCCGCAACGAGCGCAACCCUUGUUGUUAGUUGCCAUCAGGUAAAGCUGGGCACUCUAACGAGACUGCCGGUGACAAAUCGGAGGAAGGUGGGGAUGACGUCAAAUCAUCAUGCCCCUUAUGUUCUGGGCUACACACGUACUACAAUGGCUGUUACAGAGGGGAGCGAAACCGCAAGGCAGAGCCAAUCCCAAAAAACAGUCUCAGUUCGGAUUGUGGGCUGAAACCCGCCCGCAUGAAGUCGGAAUUGCUAGUAAUGGCAGGUCAUCAUACUGCCGUGAAUACGUUCCCGGGCCUUGUACACACCGCCCGU
rnacentral:rRNA from 1 species